rnacentral:rRNA from 1 species
UACAGAGGUGGCAAGCGUUGUUCGGAAUUACUGGGCGUAAAGGGCGCGUAGGCGGCCUCCUAAGUCAGACGUGAAAUCCCCCGGCUUAACCUGGGAACUGCGUCUGAUACUGGGAAGCUUGAGUUCGGGAGAGGGAUGUAGAAUUCCAGGUGUAGCGGUGAAAUGCGUAGAUAUCUGGAGGAAUACCGGUGGCGAAGGCGGCAUCCUGAACCGAAACUGACGCUGAGGCGCGAAAGCUAGGGGAGCAAACGGG